rnacentral:rRNA from 1 species
UACGGGGGGUGCGAGCGUUGUCCGGAAUCACUGGGCGUAAAGGGCGCGUAGGUGGUUUGAUAAGGGCGUGGUGAAAGUCCGGAGCUCAACUCCGGAUCUGCCGUGCCGACUGUCAAACUCGAGGGCUGUAGAGGCAGACGGAAUUCCGGGUGUAGCGGUGGAAUGCGUAGAGAUCCGGAGGAAGACCGGUGGCGAAGGCGGUCUGCUGGGCAGUUUCUGACACUGAGGCGCGACAGCGUGGGGAGCAAACAGG